rnacentral:rRNA from 1 species
UACGGGGGGUGCGAGCGUUGUCCGGAAUCACUGGGCGGAAAGGGCGCGUAGGUGGUUUGAUAAGGGUGUGGUGAAAGUCCGGAGCUCAACUCCGGAUCUGCCGUGCCGACUGUCAAACUCGAGGGCUGUAGAGGCAGACGGAAUUCCGGGUGUAGCGGUGGAAUGCGUAGAGAUCCGGAGGAAGACCGGUGGCGAAGGCGGUCUGCUGGGCAGUUUCUGACACUGAGGCGCGACAGCGUGGGGAGCAAACAGG